rnacentral:rRNA from 1 species
UACGUAGGGGGCGAGCGUUGCCCGAAUUUACUGGGCGUAAAGCGCACGUAGGAGGCUUCGUAAGUCUGGUGUGAAAUCUCACGGCUCAACCGAGAGGCUGCACCAGAUACUGCGAAGCUCGAGGACGGGAGAGGAGAUUGGAAUUCCCGGUGUAGCGGUGAAAUGCAUUGAUAUCGGGAUGAACACCAGUGGCGAAGGUGGAUCUCUGGCCCGUUGCUGACGCUGAGGUGCGAAAGCUGGGGGAGCGAAAGGG